rnacentral:rRNA from 1 species
GACGAACGCUGGCGGCGUGCUUAACACAUGCAAGUCGAACGGAAAGGCCCUGCUUUUGUGGGGUGCUCGAGUGGCGAACGGGUGUGUAACACGUGUGUAACCUGCCCUUGACUUUGGGAUAACUUCAGGAAACUGGGGCUAAUACCGGAUAGGAUCUCCUGCUGCAUGGUGGGGGUUGGUAAGUUUCGGCGGUUGGGGAUGGACUCGCGGCUUAUCAGCUUGUUGGUGGAGUAGUGGCUUACCAAGUCUUUGACGGGUAGCCGGCCUGAGAGGGUGACCGGGGACAAUGGGACUGAGAUACGGACCAGAGGGGAACGGGAGGCAGCAGUGGGGAAUAUUGCACAAUGGGGGGAAGCGUGAUGCAGAAACGCAGCGUGCGGGAAGAAGGCCUACGGGUUGUAAAAAGAAUUAGGAUGAGACGAAGAGUGAGUGACGGUAAUGGGUAAAGAAGCACCGGCUAACUACGUG